UACAGAGGUCUCAAGCGUUGUUCGGAUUCAUUGGGCGUAAAGGGUGCGUAGGCGGCGGGGCAAGUCUGAUGUGAAAUCCCGGGGCUCAACCCCGGAACUGCAUUGGAUACUGCCUUGCUAGAGUACUGGAGAGGGAACUGGAAUUUACGGUGUAGCAGUGAAAUGCGUAGAGAUCGUAAGGAAGGCCAGUGGCGAAGGCGAGUUCCUGGACAGUGACUGACGCUGAGGCACGAAGGCCAGGGGAGCAAACGGG
rnacentral:rRNA from 1 species